UACGUAGGGUGCGAGCGUUUGUCCGGAAUUAUUGGGCGUAAAGAGCUCGUAGGCGGUGUGUCGCGUCGGCCGUGAAAACCUGGGGCUCAACUCUGGGCGUGCGGUCGAUACGGGCAUCACUUGAGUUCGGCAGGGGAGACUGGAAUUCCUGGUGUAGCGGUGAAAUGCGCAGAUAUCAGGAGGAACACCGGUGGCGAAGGCGGGUCUCUGGGCCGAUACUGACGCUGAGGAGCGAAAGCAUGGGUAGCGAACAGG
rnacentral:rRNA from 1 species